ACUAUUUUGACAGAAAAAUGUGAUGAUUUUAGAAAUCAUUAAUAUAUAAUUUAAUUAUAUAGAUAGUA
rnacentral:tRNA from 1 species